GCACCGAUGGUGUAGUGGGAACACACGCUCAAACUUUGGCGCGCAAAAGACAAUACAUUGUAUGGGCGGGUCCGGGGUUCGACUCCCCGUCGGUGCA